CUCAAGCAGCCGAUUUGAACGUAAAACCGAAAAAAAAGUAAAAAACAAAAAAAGAAAACAUCAUAAAGUAGUUUUUUUGUUUUAAGUCUGCAUAAAACAUUUAGCGUCUCAAUUUUCAAAAGUUUACUCAGGGCAAACUUGAGUUAACUCUGGUCGGGGCGAAGAGCAAUCAUGGUUUGGUGAACCCCCAAAGUACAGACGUGGAUGAAUGCAAGCAGGUUUUGAGGGGCUGUGUCAUGAUAUUUGGAAAGUUAAAGUAACUGUACAGUAAUUGAAUGGAUCAAGUCUGGAUUAGACUGAAGAACUUGUUGUCGAUUAUUUUGAACCCGCCUCUUGAAGUCGGAAAACUCAUUUGAAUUACAACUAAAUUUCACAAGUAAUAUUCAUAUUUGCGCCUACUCUUGCACGUGGAGAGAGCUCAAGAACAAGAAGAAAUUUGAAAGUCUCUUUUAGCUUCUGCAGAGUCGGAAAACACGUUAUUUCUUCACUACCAUCUGGAUAUUGUCUGUUCUGUCCAUUUCAGCGAGUGUUUCCGGUACUGGAUCAAGUGCUUCAGAUACCAUGUCGAGAAUUCAUGCUUUUACAUUUCUUCAGUUAGGACAACGCCAAGCACAAGAUGAAACAGCUUGGAAAUCACGAAGUGAACUGGAGAGGAAAAAAAAAGGAUAACACCCAAUACUAGGCUGGUUUAUAGAUUUUAAUGCAUUUACCCAUCUAUGCCUAAAAGUUUGUUGAAAUAAAAACAAACUUUAGUUUUGAAAUGAAGCAAUUCUAUCGCUCCAUAUCUCUUAGUGGCAAACAUUGCUUUUAAAUUAGCAUAACAACAGUAAGCUUGUCAAAUACCCGUGUAGUCCUAAGCUAAAAGGCCAAUGGUCAAAUUUAGCUAGGUUAUUCCCAAUUAAAUACACAAUUCGUUUUCGAAUGCUUCGUUAAUUAUUACAAUGAAAUUUCCUAAUGCCUUUGUUCAAUAAGACCAAAGGACAUUGAAUUUGUCAGCAGAAAAUGUCGGCUCUACGUAAGU